rnacentral:rRNA from 1 species
ACGAACGCUGGCGGCGUGCUUAACACCUGCAAGUCGAACGGAAAGGCCCUGCUUUUGUGGGGUGCUCGAGUGGCGAACGGGUGAGUAACACGUGAGUAACCUGCCCUUGACUUUGGGAUAACUUCAGGAAACUGGGGCUAAUACCGGAUAGGAGCUCCUGCUGCAUGGUGGGGGUUGGAAAGUUUCGGCGGUUGGGGAUGGACUCGCGGCUUAUCAGCUUGUUGGUGGGGCAGUGGCUUACCAAGGCUUUGACGGGUAGCCGGCCUGAGAGGGUGACCGGCCACAUUGGGACUGAGAUACGGCCCAGACUCCUACGGGAGGCAGCAGUGGGGAAUAUUGCACAAUGGGCGGAAGCCUGAUGCAGCAACGCCGCGUGCGGGAUGACGGCCUUCGGGUUGAAAACCGCUUUCGCCUGUGACGAAGCGUGAGUGACGGUAAUGGGUAAAGAAGCACCGGCUAACUACGUG